rnacentral:rRNA from 1 species
GAUGAACGCUAGCUACAGGCUUAACACAUGCAAGUCGAGGGGCAUCAGGAAGAAAGCUUGCUUUCUUUGCUGGCGACCGGCGCACGGGUGAGUAACACGUAUCCAACCUGCCCUUUACUCGGGGAUAGCCUUUCGAAAGAAAGAUUAAUACCCGAUAGCAUAAUGAUUCCGCAUGGUUUCAUUAUUAAAGGAUUCCGGUAAAGGAUGGGGAUGCGUUCCAUUAGGUUGUUGGUGAGGUAACGGCCCACCAAGCCUUCGAUGGAUAGGGGUUCUGAGAGGAAGGUCCCCCACAUUGGAACUGAGACACGGUCCAAACUCCUACGGGAGGCAGCAGUGAGGAAUAUUGGUCAAUGGGCGUUAGCCUGAACCAGCCAAGUAGCGUGAAGGAUGAAGGCUCUAUGGGUCGUAAACUUCUUUUAUAUAAGAAUAAAGUGCAGUAUGUAUACUGUUUUGUAUGUAUUAUAUGAAUAAGGAUCGGCUAACUCCGUGCCAGCAGCCGCGGUAAUACGGAGGAUCCGAGCGUUAUCCGGAUUUAUUGGGUUUAAAGGGAGCGUAGGUGGACUGGUAAGUCAGUUGCGAAAGUUUGCGGCUCAACCGUAAAAUUGCAGUUGGUACUGUCAGUCUUGAGUACAGUAGAGGUGGGCGGAAUUCGUGGUGUAGCGGUGAAAUGCUUAGAUAUCACGAAGAACUCCGAUUGCGAAGGCAGCUCACUGGACUGCAACUGACACUGAUGCUCGAAAGUGUGGGUAUCAAACCAGG